rfam:Myotis brandtii contig272424, whole genome shotgun sequence.
GGUGGUUCUCAGGUGAUGCACCCUGAGAGGGUAUAGGGCUCCCUCUUCUCUGGUUCCGGUGCGUCACCCAAGAACCACA